CCACGAUCUUAUAGCGCUUGACUCUUCCCCCAUGACCGGCGACAGAAACACACGGACGUCGGUAACCUCGGAUCCAUGGCGGCAGUACAACGACGCGACGAACAGCAUCGUUCCGAUCUGUUCUGCAAAUUCCAGCUUUGAUUUCUUCUUUCCAACGACUCUCGACGUUGACCCACUCCCAAACGAAGCCUGAUUGUGAUACCCACCCUUGUACGAGGUGUGGGAUCGACGCAAGAAUUAGGAGUGCGGUUGCGUGUGAAGGUACGGGUUACGAUCAUGAUGAUGGUGCGGAGGAAACUUGAGAAAAAGGACUAUAGCUAGCUUCCGUUUAGUUUCAACUUGUCUGAAAUAGGUUGUUAUGAGUUCUUGUUGUUUUAGUUUAUGUCUUCUGUUUUGAACAUUGAUUUGUGUAAAGUUCAGGGAGUUAUUAGAAUGUUUUAGAUGACUUUUCUUUUAAGGCUGGACUUUUGUAAAGAUUGGGCCUGACUGAGGUUAUGUUGAACGCACGCACUAAGCGUGGUAACAAUUCUAUAGA